GGCCUUUUUCCGUUUUUCGGGACAACUUGACCAAAAGCAGCGAAUAAAAGGCCUACUACGUGCUUGCUGUACCUUUGUGCUACGCACAGCGAACUCCGAAGCCCAAACGAAUCGAAAAACGGGUGUCCAGUUACAGGCAGUAGCCAUUGCUUGUUCAUGUGUUGCGUGUGCCGUAGGAAGAUGGCUCCAGUCGCGAUUAUCGUCAGAAAAACAAAGACACGCCAACCACCAGUCAUCUUUUUCGCUUUGCAUGCUUUGAGUGUGUCCCACCCAGCGUCCGGGUAGUGUGUUUGUGUAUUUCUGCCGGCGAAGGUGUCUAUCGAACGAACCGGAUAGAAGAACCGGGGCGCAUAUCUGACGCGUAACGCACGAUAGCUGCUCCGAAAUCGUAUCCCAGCGAGGAAGAAACCCGCUCCGAGCGUUAGGUGAAGCUCAAGAACCUCCGUCUGCCUUUUCCCAGCCUCUCGAACGUAAAGCGAACCUCGACGGGAAGGGGUACUGGUGUGAUGUCCCCGUGCACGUGUUAGAGAUUUGGCAAAUUGUUGACGGCCGGCACACGGGCGGUCAGUGAUUUUAAUGGUGUCGAGAAGAUUGACGGUGACGAUUCACUUCGGCGUGCAGCGUCUGUGCGUCGGCGAAACAGAGUGGGAGACAAACAAAACAACCGCUAGAGCGAGCAAACGAGAGAGCGAGAACGAAAGAGAAAGAGAGGGAUGCACAUGAGAGAGAAAAGUUUGGCGGGUAUUGCGUGUUGAUCGUGUGUCCGUGUGCGGUAGCGCGCGUGCUCAUCACACCGCAGCGAGUUACAAACAGAUCAUGCUGGCGGGGUGUAAAGUUUAAAAACAAAAACGAAAAGGAACGAACAGCCCAAACCGAAACGGGUUUUGUGUGUAGGAAGAUUUCUUUUGGGGUGUUUUUUUUUUAUUGUCGAGACAUGGUGCCCGGUUGCUUUCGAGACAUGGGCCCGGGUGUCGUGCGAGUGGUUAAUGAAAGCGCGCUUUUAGCCGAAACCCGUUGGCACCUUCUUAAUUAAUGAGAAACGCAACCCGACGAACGCGUGCGAUUUUCGAGACUCAAUCCGUUGCUCCGCUGACGUGUUGAUGGAGGCAGCGUGUCGAGAAAAUUAAAUCCUCAUACUAAAUUCAUUAACAUUAGCGGUUUAAUAGUGCUGUCCAAUUAAGAAACAUGCCGAUUUUAGAAGUGUGUAUUAUUCAUUGGCGCAGGUUGCCGCAGCAGCAAAUUUCUGAACCGGAGGGUUACAAAAAAUCGCAAGAUAAAAUCAACGUACUCUGGCAGCGAAUUCAUUCGUGUGCGAAUUUGAACGGUGCGGCUAAAGGCUGCAGCUUCGGAUCACACCCCCUACCUGGCUGUUCGAUAUCGAACUCGUUCAAUAUCACAUUUCAACCGAAUGCCAGACACUGAGAAGCAAAAACUACGAACGUAGUUGACCUUUGCAAUGGGGUAGGAAGCCUUGUCGUGCACCAAAAAUUUCGAGAAGAAUGGAGCGUCGAAAGAUCACGAUAAGAGCCGUCCGAUGUGCUCCCACCCAAAAAUGAGUCCCUUUCCACUGAUGGACUCGUUGGAAACCUUGCUCCAGAAGUCUGGUACGGUGCCUGGGUUUUGGACAUUUCGAGAUAAUCGAAUCCUUGCCCGCCGAGCCUCCCCGUGUCCUAGGUAACCGAUAAUUGACGCUCGGCAAAAUGGACGCGCCUGGACGCUGAUAGGAAGAUUUGUUCGUUAUCGGACGCAAACGAAACCAGAAUGAAUGUCACGAGCUGGACGAAGGGAGUUGCAGGGUUGGAAAGGUUUUGUGGGGUCGAUCGAUCGGUCCCGCCGUUAUCGAGCUUGCCCGAUCAACCAUAAAAGCCAUUCCAGGGGUCAUGUUGAUGCUUUUUGGGAAGAAUCCGGGUUCGGUCCCGAAAUCAGACAAUUGGAAGGACUGACUCACGUAUACACCACCUCCACCUCCACUCAACUCUUUGCGUACGUUGAAUCCAACACACUAUGGGGUUGUUCACAUACUUUCAGUGCUCUACGCAGUCACCAACGCAUGUAGGCGCUGUGCAUGGCGGUAGGAUAUCAUUUGUUUUGGCUAGAACCUCCCUCACUUCCGUCAAUGACCUUCCUUGUUCCUUGUGUUCCUUGUCUAUCGUUGGGCUGGCUAGUCAAAAUCUGCUCCAGGAUCGAGGUGGAAAGCCAAGCGAAUGGAUCGAAAGAUUGAAAGCAACUGAUAAGCCAAGGCAAAAAGAGGUUCUUAUCUCGCUUUCGAGCUCAUCCAUUCGUCUCACCUCCGCUCACUCGCCGUGAGGCACUACACGAACGGAAAUACCGUCAACGGUGGAAAAGUUCGUCCUUCGCUUGGAGUUUUGUUUGUUGCGAGAAACGGCGCCUCCACUAGCCAUUAUAUCGGAGCGUUCCUUCCCUCUGAGACUCUCCUCUUUUCCAUCGACUGACCUGGAUCCUGAUUGAUGGAAACUGAUAGCGAUAUUAUUAUAUUUUACAACGUAGAUACCGGACGGAGCGUCUAGAGGGUUGGGAACGAUGGUGAAAUGGUGCCACGGUUCCAGAGUUCCCGAGAGUGCCGCUGAUUACCGCUACAAAUGGCGAUGGCGAAUCGGUGAUAGUGCAAUGUUGGACCGGGUCCCCGGGAGUUCCCCGAGACAACCUGACCCGGUGGAACGUUCAGUUGAUCUGUGCUGUUUGAUAAGGACAUUCCGCCGGUCCGGUACUGUUGGAUGAUCUCACCCACCCAAACAAGGUCCCUUUGACUCGUAUGCAUAAAAGCCAGGACGUGGCAUCCGUGAACUGUGACCGUGUGUGUUUGGGAUUUCGCUGCAUCGAAUCGUCCUUGCCGUCCAACAACAUCGUCACGUGGCAGUACGCGGUUGGGGACACAUUAUGGUGCGUUUGCUUAUCGAGCCCCGGGAACUCUUCCGUCCGGGAAAUGUCUCGUUGUGUCGAGCUCCAACCCACCGGCCAACGAAAGGACUCACGGGCCAGUGACGGGUAAUGGCGGACGAUGGCGACGUCUCUAGCGAUAAGAUAAAAAUUCGUGCAAUAAACGACGAACUCCCCGAACGAACGAUACCACGAGAUCCAUCGCUUUUCGUCCCGCCCGUGUCGCUCGCCCUCAUUGCUUUCAUACUUCUGCUGGUAGGAAAUAGCACGCUAUCUAUCUUUUCUACAUCGCAGUUUUGGAUUUUUUUUGUCUGUGUUUGUAG